rnacentral:lncRNA from 1 species
AAAUCCUUCACAUGAAAACAGCUGAGGAGCAGAGGCUCCAGGAGAAGUUUUCCAGUGAUUGAUGGAACGUAACCUUGAAAGUCUACCUCGUCAGUUCUUGAGAUUGGGGUUCUUCAGGCUUCAUCCCGGCUUAUUUCCCUGCUGGAAAUCAGAGAUAGAAACAAAUGAAGCAUCAGGUUGAAAACAGAAGUGCAAAACAGUCACAGGAAACACAACCCAUACAUCACACCAGCAGCCGGAGGAAAGCCCCUGCCCACCAGAGAUGACCAGGCAACAAGCCCUGGCCAGGCAACUCUCACACCUUUCCCAGCUUCGUGGAUAAUUAAGAAACAGUGGUGACCUAGUACCUAGGAACUAAUCAGAACGUAGAGUAAUAACUGUUUUUCCAACCACGGAUCUUGGUAGGAGCUUCUCAGAGGUGAUCCUUGUCACCCGUCAGAAAUGGUUGCCUCUCAUUAUCAAGAAACAGAAGGAGAAACAAAACGACCAGUGAACUCACCAUCCACUCAGGCAUGUGAAAAGCUGAGGUGCCCUCAUUACCGUCCCACUUCUCCAUAGUGCAGGCUUGGGUAAGAUAUGUCCUGAAGCAAAAGGGAAAGCUGGUUUGGAAAUACUGGGGUUAUCUGAGUGCCCCAAAGCAGACCCAACCCUAGUGAGAUUCAGAAGUUCACAGUGGCUAGCAGAAGCUGCAUCCCUUUUCACAGCAGCCUCCGAUUCAAAUCAAGAGCAUUAGUCAACUGCCUGACAACCCCUUACUGGCCGGCUUCAAAGCCUUCUGUGUCUGAUUUCAAAAUCAGAGCUGAUGCAAAGUGCUGCACCCAGGCACUGUGCUUCUCACAGGGCACUCACUGUUUUAAUGCUACCCAAACACUCUACCCGCACCUCCCCAGUGGGGACUUUCUGCAGCAAUAGUUGGACUUCCUUCUUUCCCUGUGUGUGAGGCACUUGUGAAUUCUCUCCCACCCUUCAGGACACGUCACUGGAGGUGCGGAUACCAAGAUCAAUAAAGACUGAGGUCAGG